GUAACACGUAGUCAACCUGUUCAGGGGACGUGGAUAACCUCGGGAAACUGAGAUUAAACCGCGAUAGGUCAAGAUUUCUGGAAUGGAUCCUGGCUUAAAUCUACAUGGCCCCUGGAUUGGACUGCGGCCGAUCAGGCUGUUGGUGAGGUAAUGGCCCACCAAACCUAUAACCGGUACGGGCUCUGAGAGGAGAAGCCCGGAGAUGGGCACUGAGACAAGGGCCCAGGCCCUAUGGGGCGCAGCAGGCGCGAAAACUCUGCAAUGGGCGAAAGCCUGACAGGGUUACUCUGAGUGAUUUCCGCUAAGGAGAUCUUUUGGCAGCUCUAAAAAUGGUGCAGAAUAAGGGGUGGGCAAGUCUGGUGUCAGCCGCCGCGGUAAUACCAGCACCCCGAGUGGUCGGGACGAUUAUUGGGCCUAAAGCAUCCGUAGCCGGUUGUGCAAGUCCUCCGUUAAAUCCAGCCGCUCAACGGAUGGGCUGCGGAGGAUACUACAGAACUAGGAGGCGGGAGAGGCAAGCGGUACUUAUUGGGUAGGGGUAAAAUCCUUUGAUCCAUUGAAGA
rnacentral:rRNA from 1 species